rnacentral:rRNA from 1 species
UGAGCAAUCUGCCCUUCACUCGGGGAUAAGCCUCGGAAACGAGGUCUAAUACCCGAUACGACCAGCCUUCGCAUGAGGUGCUGGUGGAAAGUUUUGUCGGUGGAGGAUGUGCUCGCGGCCUAUCAGCUUGUUGGUGAGGUAACGGCUCACCAAAGCGACGACGGGUANCUGGUCUGAGAGGAUGGCCAGCCACAGUUGGGACUGAGACACCGGCCCAGACCU